rnacentral:rRNA from 1 species
UUGGCCCUUAUGGGUAGGGCUUCACACGUCAUACAAUGGUCGGUACAGAGGUUGCAACCGCGAGGGGAGCUAAUCCACAAAGCCGAUCGUAGUCCGGAUCGCAGUCUGCAACUCGACUGCGUGAAGUCGGAAUCGCUAGUAAUCGUGGAUCAGCAUGUCACGGUGAAUACGUUCCCGGGUCUU